rnacentral:rRNA from 1 species
AUGAGCAAGCGAGUGCGAGUCAGACCUCCCGUGCUCCGCAACCAGCCCUCCACCUACGACCCGUCACGUCACUUGACCCAGAACGAGUCGCCGAUCCCUUCAUAUAUAGCCCCAGCGACAAGCACAAACACUGCAAUUUAUAUGUCGGCGGCGAGCAGGGGCGUGCGCGCGCUGGCCAUGCUGGGGCGGUGCGUGCGGGCGCUGGUCCGCGCGUGCGACCUCUACGUGAGCCGGAUGGCGGCCUGCGCGGCGGGACGCGGGCCGGUGGGCAUAGCGGCCGUGUCCCGGAGCCGGAGCCACGGGUUCCACUUCCACCACUCGGCGGGCGGCGACGGCGCCGACGCCGACGUGCGUGAGCUCAUAAGGGCCGCCUCGCGCGCCGGGCUGCCCAGGCCCGCCGGCGUCGGGCCGCGGAGCCAGAGCGUGGCCAUCGGGAGGAUCGACGAGGACCGCCCCUGCGAGUUCGGGCUCGACGACGGCGCCGCGGCACAUGCGCUGGGCCCAAGGAGCAGGAGCUGCGCCGUCGGGUACGUGGGCGUCGAGGAGGAGACAGGGGCGGAGCUCUUCUACUAUUUCGUCAAGUCAGAGAGUAGCCCCGCACGGACCCGGUGCUCCUGUGGCUCACCGGCGGUCCCUGCUGCUCGGUCAUCAUGGGCCUGGCCUUUGAAAUUGACGUGCCAGACAGAGCACGUCCGAUUUGAACCGGCUAAACCCAACCGGAGUCCCGCAGCAGAAGAGAUGAGCAAGCGAGUGCGAGUCAGACCUCCCGUGCUCCGCAACCAGCCCUCCACCUACGACCCGUCACGUCACUUGACCCAGAACGAGUCGCCGAUCCAUUCAUAUAUAGCCCCGGCGACAAGCACAAGCACAAGCACUGCGAUUUGGGCGUGCGCGCUGGCCAUCCUGGGGCGGUGCGUUCGGGCGCUGUUCCGCGCGCUGGUCCGCGCGCGCGACCUCUACGUGAGCCGGAUGGCGGCCUGCGCGGCGGGACACGGGCCGGUGGGCAUAGCGGCCGUGUCCCGGAGCCGGAGCCACGGGUUCCACUUCCACCACUCGGCGGGCGGCGACGGCGACGACGCCGACGUGCGUGAGCUCGUCAGGGCCGCCUCGCGCGCCGGGCCGCCCAGGCCAUUCUUAGGUCAAACAUUCAAAAUCUACAGGACAACUGGUAGAAAAUACAAAGCAAAAUGCUCAGGCUCAGAUGCAUGCAUCAUCAACCCUAGCACCAAUUCCUCCUCCCACAGGCACACCUCUCCACAAUCUUUGCUGCGCAAACCAAACGCCUCUACAAUCUUUCCUUGGCAAACCAACCAAAACGCCUCUACAAUCUUUCCUUGGCAAGCCAAACGCCUGAACCGUUGCAGCAACUCGACAGAUAUAAUGACAUGCCAACCAUUAAUCAAGGAGACCAAAGAAGAGUCCAGACUAGUAGCGAUUACGCCGGAGCAGGGCCGCUGUGUCCUCGUCUCCCGCGGGCGUGGCCGCAGGCCGCAGGCAGCCGGGCGGCGUGGCAAGGCGGGGCCGACGAGCACGGUGCGUGGUGGGCUGCUGGUGCUGCAGGACACGGCGGCGCGCGGGCACAACAACAGAAGGAGCUGCGGCGAGCGCGGCGACCGGCCGCAACUGCUGAUAGCGCCGGCUUGCUUCCUAGCUAGCCAGCCCGUGCGCGUGCUUGCUAGCUAG